rnacentral:rRNA from 1 species
UACAGAGGGUGCAAGCGUUGUUCGGAAUUAUUGGGCGUAAAGCGCGCGUAGGCGGUGACUCAAGUCGGAUGUGAAAGCCCUUGGCUUAACCGAGGAAGUGCAUCCGAAACUGAGUCGCUAGAGUACGAUAGAGGGUCGCGGAAUUCCCGGUGUAGAGGUGAAAUUCGUAGAUAUCGGGAGGAACACCGGUGGCGAAGGCGGCGACCUGGGUCGAUACUGACGCUGAGGCGCGAAAGCGUGGGGAGCAAACAGG